CAUGCCUACCAUGCAAGUCGAACGGUAACAGGUCUUCGGAUGCUGACGAGUGGCGGACGGGUGAGUAAUGCGUAGGAAUCUGUCUUUGAGUGGGGGACAACCCAGGGAAACUUGGGCUAAUACCGCAUAAGCCCUGAGGGGGAAAGCGGGGGAUCUUCGGACCUCGCGCUGGAAGAGGAGCCUACGUCUGAUUAGCUAGUUGGUAGGGUAAAGGCCUACCAAGGCGACGAUCGGUAGCUGGUCUGAGAGGACGACCAGCCACACUGGGACUGAGACACGGCCCAGACUCCUACGGGAGGCAGCAGUGGGGAAUUUUUCGCAAUGGGGGCAACCCUGACGAAGCAAUGCCGCGUGAAUGAAGAAGGCCUUCGGGUUGUAAAGUUCCUUCGUGGAGGACGAAAAGGUGGGUGCUAAUAUCGCCUGCUGUUGACGUGAAUCCAAGAAGAAGCACCGGCUAACUCCGUGCCAGCAGCCGCGGUAAUACGGGGGGUGCAAGCGUUAAUCGGAAUCACUGGGCGUAAAGGGUGCGUAGGCGGUACGUUAGGUCUGUCGUGAAAUCCCCGGGCUCAACCUGGGAAUGGCGGCGGAAACCGGUGUACUAGAGUAUGGGAGAGGGUGGUGGAAUUCCAGGUGUAGCGGUGAAAUGCGUAGAGAUCUGGAGGAACAUCAGUGGCGAAGGCGGCCACCUGGCCCAAUACUGACGCUGAGGCACGAAAGCGUGGGGAGCAAACAGGACUAGAUACCCUGGUAGUCCACGCCCUAAACGAUGAAUACUAGAUGUUUGGUGCCUAGCGUACUGAGUGUCGUAGCUAACGCGAUAAGUAUUCCGCCUGGGAAGUACGGCCGCAAGGUUAAAAC
rnacentral:rRNA from 1 species